rnacentral:rRNA from 1 species
CACAUCAUGAAAAGCCGCGUUGUACCCGGUAAGUCGCUGUGCCAACUCGCAAGAGAGGCAGGUGCCGAAGGUAUGGGUGGUGAUUGGGAGUG